UCUUACAGAUGAGUAAAGAAAGUGGUUUCUUGAGAUGGAAUCUGCUCCUGUGAAGACGUUGUGAA
rnacentral:pre_miRNA from 1 species